CCUCUCCCAAGGCACAGAGAUAAGGUCAUAGAUGCCCCACCCUGUCCCUUGGAGGGCCUCUAUGUUAGGGGCCAAGAGGAGGGAUCAGAGUCACCCUCUCCCCCACCCCCUGACAGAGUUUGUCUGAAGGGGGUGCAUCUAGAUAUAGCCUUCCUCCAACCCCUUUCCCUGGCUAUUGAGCCAGAUGAACCAGAGUAGAGUCCCUGGAGUUCUAUGUGGAGGCAAGUAUGUGUCAGUAUGAAAACCAAGAAGAGGAAGGACCAGAAGAGGUAGAAUUCAGGAAAUUGAAGCAGCAAAGAAGAGAGGAAAGGACCACUGAAUAUAUUGGAGCCCCUCUGAGUAAGGGAGCCAUCCUCCCCACCCUCACUGGUCAACUCCUUGGUCACUCACACAUCACAACCACGGAC